rnacentral:ncRNA from 1 species
GCGUGCGUUCGGGGAAUGCCCGACCUUCGGGUCGGGGUUCAGGGUCAGAACCAAUUCCCCGAACUCUGC